rnacentral:tmRNA from 1 species
GGGGGUGCAACGGUCUCGACUGGGGGCUUGUUGAGACAGGAACUGCAGGUGGAGCGCCGAUCUCCUAAAAGCGGCAAAACUUUUAACUGCUGAUAAUACUGAAUUAGCACUGGCUGCCUAGUAGCAGUCACGGGUACCCGAAGCCCUGUUCCGAGCAUUCGGUGUUACUUGUAACAAACCGGGACUUACCUGCUUAAAGGUCUGCAGCAAAGCAGGGAAAAUAAAUGCAGUCUCAGGCGUCAAGAAGGUAAUGCUGCUUCACCAACCUUGCGCCGAAAAUUUAAGAAGCGGCUAAACCUGUAGAAGUUUUUGUAUCGCACUUCAGGACGCGGGUUCGACUCCCGCCACCUCCAAUU